UACGUAGGGUGCGAGCGUUGUCCGGAAUUAUUGGGCGUAAAGAGCUCGUAGGCGGCCUGUCGCGUCUGCUGUGAAAAUCCAGGGCUCAACCCUGGACCUGCAGUGGGUACGGGCAGGCUAGAGUGCGGUAGGGGAGAUCGGAAUUCCUGGUGUAGCGGUGAAAUGCGUAGAUAUCGGGAGGAACACCAGUGGCGAAGGCGGGCACCUGGGCUAACACUGACGCUGAGGCGCGAAAGCUAGGGGAGCAAACAGGG
rnacentral:rRNA from 1 species